GUAAAGCUCGUAGUUGGAUUUUUGUCAAAGUUAGUUAGUCCGCUCUAUGAGUGCGAAUUUGACAAUACUUAGACAUCUCUGCUCGUUUUGAAGGAGUGCUUGAUUGCACUGCUUCUUACGCGUAGCAUUUACUUUGAGGAAAUUAGAGUGUUUUCGGCAGGCUAACGUCUUGCGUAAAGUAGCAUGGGAUAAUGAGAAAAGAUAGGAGUGCCCUCUUGCUGGUUGUAAAACUUUCUGUGGUGGUAAAUAGGGAUAGUUGGGGGCAUUUGUAUUAACGCGUCAGAGGUGGAAUUCUUGGAUUGCGUUACGACACCCUAUUGCGAAAGCACUUGCCAAAGAUGUUUUCAUUGAUCAAGAACGAAAGUAUGGGGAUCGAAGAUGAUUAGAUACCGUCGUAGUCUAUACCAUAAACUAUGCCUACUAGGGAUUGGAUGGAGUUGUACUCGACUUAUCCAGCACCUAUUGAGAAAUUAAAGUCUUUGGGUUCCGGGGGGAGUAUGGUCGCAAGACUGAAACUUAAAGGAAUUGACGGAAGGGCACCACCAGGAGUGGAGCCUGCGGCUUAAUUUGACUCAACACGGGGAAACUCACCAGGUCCAGACAUAGUGAGGAUUGACAGAUUGGUAGGUUUUUCAAGAUUCUACGGGUGGUGGUGCAUGGCCGUUCUUAGUUGGUGGAGUGAUUUGUCUGGUUAAUUCCGUUAACGAACGAGACCUUGACCUGCUAAAUAGUGAACUCUUUUUUAGGAAAGAGAAACACUUCUUAGAGGGACUUUGCGAAUUAAAGCGCAAUGAAGCACGAGGCA
rnacentral:rRNA from 1 species